UACGUAGGGUGCAAGCGUUAAUCGGAAUUACUGGGCGUAAAGCGUGCGCAGGCGGCUAUGCAAGACAGAUGUGAAAUCCCCGGGCUCAACCUGGGAAUGGCAUUUGGGACUGCAAGGCUGGAGUACGGCAGAGGAGACUGGAAUUCCUGGUGUAGCAGUGAAAUGCGUAGAUAUCAGGAGGAAUACCGAUGGCGAAGGCAGGUCUCUGGGCUGAUACUGACGCUCAUGCACGAAAGCGUGGGGAGCAAACAGG
rnacentral:rRNA from 1 species